rnacentral:tRNA from 13 species
GCCCUCGUGGCUCAACGGAUAAGGCAUCGGUCUCCUAAACCGGGGAUUGCGGUUAGAUCCGCCGAGGUAU